CACGUAGGGCGCAAGCGUUGUCCGGAAUUAUUGGGCGUAAAGAGCUCGUAGGCGGCCUGUUGCGUCCGCUGUGAAAGCCCGGGGCUUAACCCCGGGUCUGCAGUGGAUACGGGCAGGCUAGAGGUAGGCAGGGGAGAAUGGAAUUCCCGGUGUAGCGGUGAAAUGCGCAGAUAUCGGGAGGAACACCGGUGGCGAAGGCGGCUCACUGGCUCGUA
rnacentral:rRNA from 1 species